AGAGUUGAUUCUGGCUCAGGAUGAACGCUAGCGGCAGGCCUAAUACAUGCAAGUCGAACGGGAUGGGGUCCUUCGGGACCCCUGAGAGUGGCGCACGGGUGCGCAACGCGUAUGCAACAACCCCCGACAGGCGGAUAGCCGGUGGAAACGCCGGAUAAUACGCCAUGGUUCCCCGGGAGGGCAUCCUCCUGAGGAUAAAGCCGAGAGGCGGUCGGGGACGGGCAUGCGUCCCAUUAGAUGGUAGGCGGGGUGACGGCCCACCUAGUCCGCGAUGGGUAGGGGAUCUGAGAGGACGGUCCCCCACACUGGUACUGAGACACGGACCAGACUCCUGCGGGAGGCAGCAGUAAGGGAUAUUGGUCAAUGGGGGGAACCCUGAACCAGCCAAUGCCGCGUGAGGGAAUGAGGCCCUACGGGUCGUGAACCUCUUUUAUUCGGGGACAAGGACGCGGUCGCGAACCGUGUUUGAGGGUACCGAAGGAAUAAGCAUCGGCUAACUCCGUGCCAGCCGCCGC
rnacentral:rRNA from 1 species